GUGCCCAUAGCUCAGCUGGAUAGAGCACCUGCCUUCUAAGCAGGGGGUCACAGGUUCGAGUCCUGUUGGGCACGCCA
rnacentral:tRNA from 1 species